rnacentral:rRNA from 1 species
GCUCAACCGAGGAAGUGCUUCGAAAACUGGUAAACUUGAGUGCAGAAGAGGAAAGUGGAACUCCAUGUGUAGCGGUGGAAUGCGUAGAUAUAUGGAAGAACACCAGUGGCGAAGGCGGCUUUCUGGUCUGUAACUGACGCUGAGAUUCGAAAGCAUGGGUAGCAAACAGGAUUAGAUACCCUGGUAGUCCAUGCCGUAAACGAUGAGUGCUAAGUGUUGGAGGGUUUCCGCCCUUCAGUGCUGCAGCUAACGCAUUAAGCACUCCGCCUGGGGAGUACGACCGCAAGGUUGAAACUCAAAGGAAUUGACGGGGGCCCGCACAAGCGGUGGAGCAUGUGGUUUAAUUCGAAGCAACGCGAAGAACCUUACCAGGUCUUGACAUACCAUGAAAAGCUUAGAGAUAAGUCUUUCCCUUCGGGGACAUGGAUACAGGUGGUGCAUGGUUGUCGUCAGCUCGUGUCGUGAGAUGUUGGGUUAAGUCCCGCAACGAGCGCAACCCUUAUUAUCAGUUGCCAGCAUUCAGUUGGGCACUCUGGUGAGACUGCCGGUGACAAACCGGAGGAAGGUGGGGACGACGUCAAAUCAUCAUGCCCCUUAUGACCUGUGCUACACACGUGCUACAAUGGUCGGUACAACG